GGGCUCAAACUUUUCAACCGAGAAAGAAACCCAGGAAUGAUUUUAAUAUCAAAUCGAUUUUGGAAGAGUCCGAAGUUGGUGCUCAAGUGAUUUGCGAACUGGAUACGGAUAAAUUAAGCAGAAAAAGCAGAAUCAAGAUGGUUCAGAUACUAGUGGCUUACAUAAUUAAUCAGUUUGGAGAAAGGCCUCAUGCAGACAUCAAAAUCCAAAUGGCAAAGGCAGUGGUAUAGCAGUUUCCUUUCCUUAAAGACGAAGAGGGUCAAGGAUAUGAAGCUUGGUACACGCCAGGAAAGGGAAUUCAUUCUGCUACAGGGUGGUUGGAAGAACGGCUUAGAAAUGUUAGGAGAAAGAACAUAAAACACCGUC